UGCACCGUCCCUCCGGGUCGGAGCAGUGAGGGCAGCGAUAAAGGGCUGCCUGUUGCGUCUCCCUUGACUCCAGCCCUAGGAGAAGAAGGGCUGAGUGGGGCCACCGUGGCCUUGCGGCCACCUUCUAAACAGCACCCCCCCCCCCCGUGGUUGAGACGAGGGGAUCCGUGUGGCAGAUGCAGACCAGAGGCUGCCACCGGAAUGAGUCCUGGUCUAGUUGCAAGAAACCAUCUGGGUUUCUUUAAAAGACACCAGUGAAAAAUGUGUGACAUCAUGAAUUUAUGUGUUGGAGCCACUAGAUGGCAACCCUUCCUCAUUGCAAUGAUUUGAAAAACUAAAUCUCAUCAGAUCUGGGAACCUAAGCAGGGUCGGCCAUGGUCAGUAUUUGAAACGGAGACCACCAAGGAAGUCCAGGGCUGUGGCGCAGAAGCAGGCAAAGGCAAACCACCUCUGAACCUCUCUUGCCUUGGAAACCCCUCGAGGGGUCACCAUAAGUCGGCUGGGAUAUGAUGUUAUUGAAUGUGGAAUAACGUUUUAAAUGUUUGUUUAUAAUAUUUUUAUUGUUUUAAACUGUAUGUUAUAAAUUGUAUGUUGUUACACCGCCCUGAGCCCGUCCGAUGGGGAGGGCGGUCUAGAAAUGUAAUAAAUAAAUAAAUAUGAUUGAAAGGCCUCCAAAACAUCCUAUCA